AUUGAACGCUGGCGGCAUGCUUUACACAUGCAAGUCGAACGGUAACAGGGUGCUUGCACCGCUGACGAGUGGCGAACGGGCGAGUAAUGCGUCGGAACGUGCCGAGUAGUGGGGGAUAACGCAUCGAAAGGUGUGCUAAUACCGCAUACGUACUGAGGUAGAAAGUGGGGGACCUUCGGGCCUCACGCUAUUCGAGCGGCCGACGUCUGAUUAGCUAGUAGGUGAGGUAAAGGCUCACCUAGGCGACGAUCAGUAGCGGGUCUGAGAGGAUGAUCCGCCACACUGGGACUGAGACACGGCCCAGACUCCUACGGGAGGCAGCAGUGGGGAAUUUUGGACAAUGGGCGAAAGCCUGAUCCAGCCAUGCCGCGUGUCUGAAGAAGGCCUUCGGGUUGUAAAGGACUUUUGUCGGGGAGGAAAUCCCCAGCGCUAAUACCGCUGGGGGAUGACAGUACCUGAAGAAUAAGCACCGGCUAACUACGUGCCAGCAGCCGCCGUAAGAC
rnacentral:rRNA from 1 species